GGCGUGAUGGCGGAGUGGUUAUCGCGCAAGACUAGAAAUCUUGUUCCAUCGGGAGGUACGUACCCUAUUGGAAAGCCCCAAGCCUGCAUCCCCCCUGACCUUUCUCUAGCGUCAGUUCAAAUCUGGCUCACGUCG